ensembl:ncRNA F32G8.9 ncRNA
AAGAGGCGUUUCGAACUUGUAAAUGUUUUCCUAGUUUUCUAGUUCUUUUUCAUCAGAUAUCGUUUCUUAUAUUUGCGAUUUCUGGGCUGAUUGGGUACAAGUUGGGAGGAGGUGAUGACGAAUGAAA